AUCCGGCUGACGAGUCCCAAAUGGGACAGAACGCGCCUCCCGGAU
rnacentral:hammerhead_ribozyme from 1 species